UAAAAGGUCCAGCCUGCCCAGUGACCAUGUUCAACGGCCGCGGUAUCCUAACCGUGCGAAGGUAGCGUAAUCACUUGUUCUUUAAAUGAGGACUAGUAUGAAUGGCACCACGAAGGUUAUACUGUCUCCUUUCUCUAAUCAGUGAAACUAAUCUCCCCGUGAAGAAGCGGGGAUUCCAAUAUAAGACGAGAAGACCCUAUGGAGCUUUAAACAAAAUGACAACUACCACCGACAACACCAAUUUCAGAAAACAAGCCCACUCACCUUGGUACCAUGCCCAUUAGUUUUAGGUUGGGGUGACCGCGGAGCAAAAAACAACCUCCACAUUGAACAGAGACUAACCCUAAGCAAAAAGCAACAACUUUAUGCAUCAGCAUACUGACAUUAAUUGACCCAAUAAUUUGAUCAACGAACCAAGUUACCCUAGGGAUAACAGCGCAAUCCAUUUCAAGAGCCCCUAUCGACAAAUGGGUUUACGACCUCGAUGUUGGAUCAGGGUUACCAAGUGGUGCAGCCGCUACUAAAGGUUCGUUUGUUCAACGAUUAAAA
rnacentral:rRNA from 1 species